AAAUUGAAGAGUUUGAUCAUGGCUCAGAUUGAACGCUGGCGGCAGGCCUAACACAUGCAAGUCGAACGGUAACAGGAAGCAGCUUGCUGCUUUGCUGACGAGUGGCGGACGGGUGAGUAAUGUCUGGGAAACUGCCUGAUGGAGGGGGAUAACUACUGGAAACGGUGGCUAAUACCGCAUAACGUCGCAAGACCAAAGAGGGGGACCUUCGGGCCUAUUGCCAUCAGAUGUGCCC
rnacentral:rRNA from 1 species